AUACUUACCUGGUGCUGGGUUUGUAUUGGUCACGAUGGUCGCGGCCCCCUCGCGGCAGCCUUCAUUGCACUUUGGUUGGCAGAUGCGCGUCACUACUUCUAAGUGGGUUAAAUGGUGCAUAAAAUUUUUGGUAGUGGAACUAGGCAUGAGCGCCAGCUUUUU